rnacentral:rRNA from 1 species
AGUAAAUAGAUACCCGGGUAGUCCACGCCGUAAACGAUGUGCACUAGAUCGAGGAGAUUUUGACAUCAUUCUCGGUCGAAAGUAAAAACGUUGAGUGCACCGCCUGGGGAGUACGGUCGCAAGGCUAAAACUCAAAGGAAUUGACGGGGGCUCACACAAGCGGUGGAGCAUGUGGCUCAAUUCGAAGCAACGCGAAGAACCUUAUCCUAGGCUUGACAUGCACGGAUUAGUUCCGAGAAACCGGAAUGACACUCUCGUAGUGGAACGUGCACAGGUGCUGCAUGGCUGUCGUCAGCUCGUGCUGUGAAGUGUCGGGUUAAGUCCCUUAACGAGCGAAACCCCUAUCAUUAGUUGCGAACAGGUAAAGCUGCGGACUCUAAUGAGACUGCCGGUGUUAAACCGGACGAAGGUGGGGAUGACGUCAAGUCCUCAUGGCCUUUAUGCCUAGGGCUGCACACGUGCUACAAU